rnacentral:snRNA from 1 species
AUCAUUUCUUGGCCUUUUGGCUAAGAUCAAGUGUAGUAUCUGUUCUUAUCAGUUUAAAAAAUAAUAUGUAGUAAUAUAUCUU